rnacentral:lncRNA from 1 species
UAUAUGGGCGGGCUCCCAACUUAGGAGGAAAUGAACUAAACUUAGGAGGAAAUGCGUCUCCUAUGGGUAAACUAAACUUAGGAGGAAAUGCGUCUCCUAUGAGUAAAAGUAAACUUAGGAGGAAAUGUGUCUCCUAUGGGUAAAACUAAACUAAGGAGGAAAUGCGUCUCCUAUAGGUAAAACUAAACUUAGGAGGAAAUGCGUCUCCUAUGGGUAAACUAAACUUAGGAAGUGCGUCUCCUAUUGGUAAAGGCGUGGAAUGUAUUCCCUUGUUAUACAGGUGGGCGCCUAAUGGUAAAGACGCAAAAUGUAUUCCCUUGUUAUACAGGUGGGCAACUAUUUUCGACAACAACUUUGAAAAUGGAUCCUAUUUGAGGGCGGAUGAACCCAACAUAUCCUAUUUGAGGGCGGAUGAACCCCGACGUAUCCUAUUUGAGGGCGGAUGAACCCGAACUAUCCUAUUCGAGGGCGGAUGAACCCGAACUAUCCUAUUCGAGGGCGGAUGAACCCGACUUAUCCUAUUCGAGGGAGGAUGAACCCGACAUAUCCUAUUCGAGGGCGGAUGAACCCGGACAUAUCCUAUU